rnacentral:rRNA from 1 species
AGUGAACGCUGGCGGUAGGCCUAACACAUGCAAGUCGAACGGCAGCACAGUAAGAGCUUGCUCUUACGGGUGGCGAGUGGCGGACGGGUGAGGAAUACAUCGGAAUCUACUUUUUCGUGGGGGAUAACGUAGGGAAACUUACGCUAAUACCGCAUACGACCUACGGGUGAAAGCAGGGGAUCUUCGGACCUUGCGCGAUUGAAUGAGCCGAUGUCGGAUUAGCUAGUUGGCGGGGUAAAGGCCACCAAGGCGACGAUCCGUAGCUGGUCUGAGAGGAUGAUCAGCCACACUGGAACUGGGACACGGUCCAGACUCCUACGGGAGGCAGCAGUGGGGAAUAUUGGACAAUGGGCGCAAGCCUGAUCCAGCCAUACCGCGUGGGUGAAGAAGGCCUUCGGGUUGUAAAGCCCUUUUGUUGGGAAAGAAAAGCAGCAGGUUAAUACCCCGCUGUUCUGACGGUACCCAAAGAAUAAGCACCGGCUAACUUCGUG